rnacentral:rRNA from 1 species
AUUGAACGCUGGCGGCAGGCCUAACACAUGCAAGUCGAGCGGAGCGGCGGACGGGUGCGUAAUGCAUAGGUAUGUGACUCGUAGUGGGAGAUAAGUACCGGAAACGGGCGCUACUACCACAUACUAUCAGUUGAGCCUAGGUCGGAUUAGCUAGAUGGUGGGGUAAAGGCCUACGAAGGCGACGAUCAGUACCUGGUGUGAGAGGAUGAUCAGUCACACUGGAACUGAGACACGGUCCAGACUCCUACGGGAGGAAGCAGUGGGGAAGAUUGGACAAUGGGCGCAAGCCUGAUGCAGCCAUGCCGCGUGUGCGAAGAAGGUCUUCGGAUUGUAAAGCACUUUAAGUUGGGAGGCGUUACCCACCGAAUAAGCACCGGCUAACUCCGUGCCAGCAGCCGCGGUAAUUC